GAUCCUGGCUCAGAUUGAACGCUGGCGGCAUGCCUUACACAUGCAAGUCGAACGGCAGCACGGACUUCGGUCUGGUGGCGAGUGGCGAACGGGUGAGUAAUGUAUCGGAACGUACCUUUCAGUGGGGGAUAACGUAGCGAAAGUUACGCUAAUACCGCAUAUUCUGUGAGCAGGAAAGCAGGGGAUCGCAAGACCUUGCGCUGAUUGAGCGGCCGAUAUCAGAUUAGCUAGUUGGUGGGGUAAAGGCCUACCAAGGCUACGAUCUGUAGCGGGUCUGAGAGGAUGAUCCGCCACACUGGAACUGAGACACGGUCCAGACUCCUACGGGAGGCAGCAGUGGGGAAUUUUGGACAAUGGGGGCAACCCUGAUCCAGCCAUGCCGCGUGAGUGAAGAAGGCCUUCGGGUUGUAAAGCUCUUUCGGCCGGGAAGAAAUCGCAUAGGUUAAUACCCUGUGUGGAUGACGGUACCGGAAUAA
rnacentral:rRNA from 1 species